GGGUCCAACCUCCCAUCCGUGUCUAUCUGUACCCUGUUGCUUCGGCGUGGCCACGGCCCGCCGGAGACUAACAUUUGAACGCUGUCUGAAGUUUGCAGUCUGAGUUUUUAGUUAAACAAUCGUUAAAACUUUCAACAACGGAUCUCUUGGUUCCGGCAUCGAUGAAGAACGCAGCGAAAUGCGAUAAUUAAUGUGAAUUGCAGAAUUCAGUGAAUCAUCGAGUCUUUGAACGCACAUUGCGCCCCCUGGUAUUCCGGGGGGCAUGCCUGUCCGAGCGUCAUUGCUGCCCUCAAGCACGGCUUGUGUGUUGGGCUUCCGUCCCUGGCAACGGGGACGGGCCCAAAAGGCAGUGGCGGCACCAUGUCUGGUCCUCGAGCGUAUGGGGCUUUGUCACCCGCUCCCGUAGGUCCAGCUGGCAGCUAGCCUCGCAACCAAUCUUUUUAACCAGGUUGACCUCGGAUCAGGUAGGGAUACCCGCUGAACUUAAGCAUAUCAAAAGCCCGGAGGAA
rnacentral:rRNA from 1 species